AACGAACGCUGGCGGCAUGCCUAACACAUGCAAGUCGAACGAGACCUUCGGGUCUAGUGGCGCACGGGUGCGUAACGCGUGGGAACCUGCCCUUAGGUUCGGAAUAACUCCCCGACAGGGGUGCUAAUACCGGAUAAUGUCUUCGGACCAAAGAUUUAUCGCCUUUGGAUGUGCCCGCGUUGGAUUAGCUAGUUGGUAGGGUAAAAGCCUACCAAGGCGACGAUCCGUAGCUGGUAUGAGAGGAUGAUCAGCCACACUGGGACUGAGACACGGCCCAGACUCCUACGGGAGGCAGCAGUGGGGAAUAGUGGACAAUGGGCGAAAGGAUGAUCCAGUAAUGCCGCGUGAGUGAUGAAGGCCUUAGGGUUGUAAAGCUCUUUUACCCGGGAUGAUAAUGACAGUACCGGGAGAAUAAGCUCCGGCUAACUCCGUG
rnacentral:rRNA from 1 species